rnacentral:rRNA from 1 species
GCGCAUGCAGGUGGUUUGUUAAGUCAGAUGUGAAAGCCCGGGGCUCAACCUCGGAAUUGCAUUUGAAACUGGCAGACUAGAGUACUGUAGAGGGGGGUAGAAUUUCAGGUGUAGCGGUGAAAUGCGUAGAGAUCUGAAGGAAUACCGGUGGCGAAGGCGGCCCCCUGGACAGAUACUGACACUCAGAUGCGAAAGCGUGGGGAGCAAACAGGAUUAGAUACCCUGGUAGUCCACGCCGUAAACGAUGUCUACUUGGAGGUUGUGGCCUUGAGCCGUGGCUUUCGGAGCUAACGCGUUAAGUAGACCGCCUGGGGAGUACGGUCGCAAGAUUAAAACUCAAAUGAAUUGACGGGGGCCCGCACAAGCGGUGGAGCAUGUGGUUUAAUUCGAUGCAACGCGAAGAACCUUACCUACUCUUGACAUCCAGAGAACUUUCCAGAGAUGGAUUGGUGCCUUCGGGAACUCUGAGACAGGUGCUGCAUGGCUGUCGUCAGCUCGUGUUGUGAAAUGUUGGGUUAAGUCCCGCAACGAGCGCAACCCUUAUCCUUGUUUGCCAGCGAGUAAUGUCGGGAACUCCAGGGAGACUGCCGGUGAUAAACCGGAGGAAGGUGGGGACGACGUCAAGUCAUCAUGGCCCUUACGAGUAGGGCUACACACGUGCUACAAUGGCGCAUACAGAGGGCAGCCAACUUGCGAGAGUGAGCGAAUCCCAAAAAGUGCGUCGUAGUCCGGAUCGGAGUCUGCAACUCGACUCCGUGAAGUCGGAAUCGCUAGUAAUCGUGGAUCAGAAUGCCACGGUGAAUACGUUCCCGGGCCUUGUACACACCGCCCGUCACACCAUGGGAGUGGGCUGCAAAAGAAGUAGGUAGUUUAACCUUCGGGAGGACGCUUACCACUUUGUGGUUCAUGACUGGGGUGAAGUCGUAC